rnacentral:tRNA from 1 species
GGGAGCAUAGCUCAGCUGGGAGAGCAUCUGCCUUACAAGCAGGGGGUCAUAGGUUCGAGCCCUAU